CUACUUUGGCAAUACAUAUAAUAAAAUUGGAACAAUAUAGAGAAGAUUAGCAUGGCCCCUGCGUAAGGAUGAUAUGCAAAUUUGUGAAGCAUUCCAUAUUGUA